rnacentral:rRNA from 1 species
AUUGAACGCUGGCGGCAGGCCUAACACAUGCAAGUCGAGCGGAGCGGCGGACGGGCGAGUAAUGACUAUGUAUCUGCCUGGUAGUGGGGGAUAACUUCCGGAAACGGGCGCUAAUACCUCACAUUAUCAGAUGAGUCUAGGGCGGAUUAGCUAGUUGGUGGGGUAAAGGCUUACCAAGGCGACGAUCCGUAACUGGUCUGAGAGGAUGAUCAGUCACACUGGAACUGAGACACGGUCCAGACUCCUACGGGAGGCAGCAGUGGGGAAUAUUGGACAAUGGGCGAAAGCCUGAUCCAGCCAUGCCGCGUGUGUGAAGAAGGUCUUCGGAUUGUAAAGCACUUUAAGUUGGGAGGCGUUACCAACAGAAUAAGCACCGGCUAACUCCGUGCCAGCAGCCGCGGUAAUUC